ACACUACGAGUUUGAUCCUGGCUCAGAGCGAACGCUAGCGGCGGGCUUAACACAUGCAAGUCGAGCGCAUCUCCUUCGGGAGGUGAGCGGCGAACGGGUGAGUAACACGUAGGUAACGUACCCUCUGGUGGGGAAUAACCCAGGGAAACUUGGGCUAAUACCGCAUGUGCCCUUCGGGUGAAAGACUUCGGUUGCCAGAGGAUCGGCCUGCGGCCCAUUAUUUAAUCCUAGUUGGUAGGGUAACGGCCUACCAAGGGUACGAUGGGUAGCUGGUCUGAGAGGAUGAUCAGCCACACUGGGACUGAGACACGGCCCAGACUCCUACGGGAGGCAGCAGUGGGGAAUAUUGGACAAUGGGCGAAAGCCUGAUCCAGCCACGCCGCGUGAGUGAUGAAGGCCUCGGUUGUAAGACUCUGUCGGGAGGGACGGAAGGUACUAGACGGUACCGUCCCAACGAAAGACGCCGGCGUAACUCCGUG
rnacentral:rRNA from 1 species